UUCCGGUUGAUCCUGCCGGAGGCUACUGCUAUUGGAAUCCGAUUAAGCCAUGCGAGUCUAAAGGACUUCGGUCCUUGGCGGACGGCUCAGUAACACGUGGAGAACCUGCCCUCAGGAGGGGGAUAACCCCGGGAAACUGGGAAUAAUACCCCAUAGGUCUAGGAUGCUGGAAUGCUUCUAGGCUGAAAGCUCCGGCGCCUGAGGAUGGCUCUGCGGCUUAUCAGGUUGUAGUGAGGGUAACGUCCUCACUAGCCUAUGACGGGUACGGGCCCUGAGAGGGGAAGCCCGGAGAUGGACUCUGAGACACGAGUCCAGGCCCUACGGGGCGCAGCAGGCGCGAAAACUCCGCAAUGCUCGAAAGAGUGACGGGGGGAUUCCAAGUGCCUACGCUCAGCGUAGGCUGUUCAGAUGCCUAAAAAGCAUCUGGAGUAAGGGCUGGGUAAGACGGGUGCCAUCUGUGGCAGCAGCCGAAAAUUUGGCUUGCUACUGCAAGGCAUAAGCCGCCGCGGUAAUACCCGCAGCUCGAGUGGUAGUCGAUUUUAUUGGGCCUAAAGCGUCCGUAUCCGGUCUGGUAAAUGCUUGGGUAAAUCGUCUGGCUUAACCAGACGAAUUCCGGGUAGACUACCAGACUUGGGACCGGUUGAGGAAGAGGGUACUUCAGGGGUAGGAGUGAAAUCCUGUAAUCCUUGAAGGACCACCAGUGGCGAA
rnacentral:rRNA from 1 species